ACUCCUCUGUUGCCUUGGUGGUUGUGUUUUCUGCAUUCCAUUUUUCUAUCUUCUUCGUUCUCUUUUUUUUCUUCUUCUUUUU
rnacentral:sRNA from 1 species